rnacentral:lncRNA from 1 species
AUGAUUCAUUCAGCGACCUCUGACCACAGCCAGGCCUUGAAUGUGGAGGCAGAAUGUAACAGUGGAGACUGAAUGGAGCAGACGGGAAGAAGGUUAAGGUGAUCCUUGGCUCGGAGGUGGGGGAAGUGCUGCCGACAGCUUUUGUUCUGAUGCAUGGGUCUGCUGGAACCGGGGAGCAGAAGGUGGGGGGUGCUGGACGUUCUUUUGGAUCCUGAUGUAGUAACUGAUGCAGGCUGGACCUCUUCAUGCAAUUCAGCGUCAAGCUCUCCAACUUACAGAGCACCAAGCCAAGAUGUUUGCAUGGGAACACACGCCACCCCCAUCUUUGCGAACUUCAUCAUUGCACUUCCGUUUCCUUGAUCUUGAUGCCAAUGUGGUGUUUACCGGAGACCAAGUAGUCGCCGGAGAUUUAUGCGGCAAGAACACCUCCACUGAUGAAAGCAAGCCUUCCGCUUGGCUGCAGCCUGGAAGCCACUUAGAAGACUAUUUAUUCUCUAUGCGUCUCUCCAUAGACAAUCACCCAUCGUGGGGAGCACAUUUACACCUUAGUCAAUGGAAUGCAUUUUAAUUGCGUUAAUAAGAAUUGAGAUAGGACUAAAGACAAAAGGCUCACUCUGUACAAAAUUAAAGACUGUUGCUUGUGCUCAAGAUCCUGUGGCUAGAGGAGCUUAGACAACAGGACUGCCUGUCUCCUGGGAGCCAAAAGCAGCAAGGAAAGGGAUCUUGUUUGCCUUGAGAGAAAAUGCAGCUAGCGGCCUGUUGCCUGGCUGCUGAGGGUCUGGAAGGGGAGGGGGCUUAUUGGUGGAAGUUAGAUUUAACCUAAAGGGAAACGAAGGAAAAAAGAGUUGUAAUGUUGUAGAAUGGGCGCUCAUCUUAAGAUUAGCUUGUAGGCAAGCUAUUUAACCAUUCUAUUUCCUCUUCUGUAAAAUGGGUAUAAUGAUAUUUAUCUACUAACAUGAGGAAGGUGAAGUAAGAGAAGGGAUGGAAAUGCGUAAUAGAUCCAUAAAGUAGAACAUACAGAUGAUCCCCUUCUUCAGCGUCUACCGCAUAUCCUGCACUAGCUCCAAGAUGGGCUCUAUGCUCAUGAUUUUACAGCUCUUGCCUCUUUGCAUGUUUACAGCAAUGCUGAAAGGAAGGCAGGAAUUGUCAUCCGCAUUUUGCAGAUGAGGAAAGCAGGCAAUUUAAUUUCACAUGCCCAGGGGCCCAUGGCUGGUACAUGAGAAGCUGAGCUUUGAAUGUGGAGCUGCCUGGCUGCAUUCUUCGCUUUAGGGAAGGAUGGGUUCAUUCUGUGCUUUUCUAGUGACUGUUGGGGAUACUUGCCCACGUGCCACAGAAACAGUAGCAGAGUCUACGGAAUGCUGUCCUCUUCUGCAUAGCUCUUUGCCCUGCCUCCAGUGCCCUCCACCUGUGAGUGGUCAGAGGCUCUCAUGUUGCUCCCUGUGCUAGCCCCCAGCCAGAGCAAUGAGCUUGACUUGAAAAAGCCCUUCAAGAGCCGCCAUUCCUGGCUCGGCUAGACUUCAGAUGGGACCAGGGAGCUCAGACUUGGAAGGGCACUUCACUUGGUCCCUGCACAACCUUCCCCUGGCACAGAGCCAGCUUCCCUGGGGGGUCUGCAUUUCCAGAGAGGAGAUCGCAAGCCUCCCUCACAUCCAUUCCAGGGUCACUCACUCCCUUGGGCACAGUGACGAUUCUUUAGUCAUUCCCAAAAAGGUACUUAGCUUGAAGACAGCCUCGUCCCCAUUUUCCAUGUAAGGAGAUGAGAAAGCCACCUCCAUCCAGGCCCCUUUAAGCGAAACCUCCCUUUCCCUGUCUGUGGAGUUUAGGGGACCAAAUUCUCCAAGAACAACCUCUGCAGCGGGAACAUGAGGAUGGCCUCCUGCAUCCAGGGCUCCUCUUCUUGCCCUGUUUACCACCAGGCCUAGUCUCCAUCCCUACCAGCCAUGCCACUAGAGAUGACCCAAACUCUCUAAGCCUCCACUGCCUCGCCUGAAGGCUUGUGCCUUGGGAGAUAAUUUGCCAACCCACGGUGUCCAUGUGUGGCCCUGGGGCUGAAAUUUCCAGCUAGAAGGUGGUCAGCCUGACAGCCACCCUGGGGACCAGGGACCAGGACAAUUGGCUUCAACAUUGGUGUUUGUAUUACUUCACUUCAUAUUGUCAAUAUCAUCCUAUUAUCAAUCAGCAGCUACCACGACCCCAAUAACUGAUAUAAAUUCCAAUUAAAUGACAUAGAUUAGGUUCCUGAUGCAGGCUGGUCAUUAUGCCAGGAGAACACAAAGGCCAUGUUCCUGUUUCAUUCUUACAGCGAACUUCCAGGCCCAGAGAAAUCAGGCCUUCCGUGGGGGCUUUGCAGAAAAGAGCUGCACCAGGCCUUUUGGCUCCAGUUCCAGAACCUUCCUCCACCAGAGCUUUGCCAAACUUCACUCGUUCAGGGUCAUUAUUUGUGCUGUGUCCUCAUUCUACCACAUACAGUUUUAAUGAUUUUCGCCAUGGCCACUACCACCUAUAGUCUGUUGUUUAUUCAACCUUUAAAAAAAAUUGACUGACAUUUUACUUAAAUCGGUUUACUUAAAAGUUUCCUAUGAUACGCUAAAUGUGAAAAGUAAUGUCAUUUGUCAGACCAUUAAAAAUACAACAUAAAUUCUAGAGAUCUGCUGUUCAACAUAGUGCCUAGAAUUAAUAUAUGCAUUGUGCCCCUACAAAAAUUGUUAAGAGAGUAGGCUGGGCAUGGUGGCUCAUGCUGUAAUCCAAGAACAUUGGGAGGCCGAGACAGCAGAUCACUUGAGGUCAGGAGUUCAAGACCAGCCUGGCCAACAUGAUGAAACCCCAUCUCUACUAAAAAAUACAAAAUUAGUUGGGCACGGUGGCAGGUGCCUAUAGUCCCAGCUACUCAGGAAGCUGAGGCAGAAGAAUCACUUGAACCUGGGAGGCAGUGGUUGCAGUUAACCGAGAUCAUGCCACUGCACUCCAACCUGGGUGACAGAGUGAGACUUGGUCAAAAAAAAAACCACAAAAAAUUGUUAAGAGAGUACUCUCGUUAAAUGUUCUUACUGCACAAACAGAACAAGACACAGCCCCCCAAAACGAGGAACCUUUUGGAGGUGAUGGAUGUUUAUGACCUCGAGUGUGAUGAUCUUGCGGGUGUUUGUGUAUGUCCAGACUCACCAAAUUGCACAUAUUAAAUAAGUGCAGUUCUUUCAUAUGUCAGUUACACCUCAGUCAAGCUUUUUUAAAAAUGCAAUGAAGACAAAACAAUGUCAUUCAAAUGCAGCUGUUGCCGGCUGGAGCCUGGAGGCCCAGGAUCUGCUCCUGCCAGUGAUGAGGAAGGUUGGCCAGGGACACACUAGUGUGAGACAGAGGCUUUUCUCUGAUGUCACCAGGGGGACUGGAAGAGAACCGAUGAGGGAGCUGUGUCUCAUCUGGAAUCUUGGGUCCCUGGAGGCCCACUUUCUACUCCUAAUGCUGGGGAUACUGGUUUCCCCAGCAUCCCAGUCCUUGCUGUCCUGGCCACUUGCUUCCCUGUGUUGGAUGCAAUGGUUGGCCAGGGUAUAGGAGAUGCCUGUUCACCAUGAGGACGUGCUCCCCGAGUGAUCCUCUACCCUCUCAGGGUGCAGCUGAGCCUGCACCCUCCUGGCAGGGCCCAAGGCCCCAUAGAGGUUGUAUCUGAACAGACAAAGUUGCUGUCCCCUCUCCUGCUCCCUCCCCACGGUGGGGAAUUCUCUUCAGUCAAACACACCAGCUCUAAGGUUCUGUUGUCAUGAGUCUUAGCAUCCACACCUCCCACUGCCCUAAUGUGUUUUUUUAACCAGGAGUGUUCUGGAAACAGCUCAAGAACUCCAAGGUGAGGCUUUCUACUUGCCCGGUGGGAGUGGGUGGUCAGGGGACAGGUCAGCCUGUCCCUCUGUGACCUGUCACACUCUUGAGGCAGCACCUCCUCUGCCCUCCAUGUCUCUAGCUGGCUGAGCAUAGGGGACCUCUGUCCUCGAAUUCCCAGUGCCUCCCCUCCUACCCCACAGAGGCCCUGCAAGGCUGGGCUGCUGCCUGCCCCUGAGCACUUCCUGGGGUGAGGAGGCCCCUUUGCAAGCAAAUGUUUUCAGUGUCCCAGGUGGUUUCAUGCUCCAUCAGGGACAACAAAUGUGAUGUCCCUACUUCACUUAGGCCCACUCCUAGGUGAGACCUCGUUGUGUCGUGCUUAAAUUGGUGGGAAAUCUAGAAUCCACGUCCUGGGCCUUUCAGAGUGGGAGAUGCACAGAAAUGAAACAAAGGUCAGCUCUGGGGUGAUGGUAGGACCUCAGACAAGUGUUUCCACAGCCCUUUACAGUGACCACCCCUCCUCGCUACUGAGGGGUGUGUGCCUCCCAGGGGCUUGUUGAGAGAAUGAGGAGGUGACUCGCCAAAUUGACAGAGUCAGGCCUCCACCCCAGCAUUGGAUUCCCAAGCCCCUGCUCUCUUACUGAGGGGCACACAAACUCACUCCACCUGCAGGUCAUAUUUUAGCUCUUAGUGAAAUGCUAACACGAUUCCCUUAGAUUAUGAUGCCAAAAAUGGAGAUGAACUCCAUUUUUCCUUGUCCAACAGGUGCUUUGCUAAGCUGAUCUGGCCCAUGGGUCCCAGGCUUGCCUCAGAAAAGAGAAGGAGCAAAGGCGAGGCCAAGAAUCACAGUUCUUUUUGAUUGAACUUGAGACUUUGAAAAUAAAUAAUAAUGCCCCCCUGCCUUUUUUUUCUGGAGAUGGAGUGUUGCUCUGUCUCCCAGGCUGGAGUGCAGUGCUGUGAUCAUAGCUCACUGCAACCUUGAACUCCUGGGCUCAAGCCAUCCUCCUGCCUUAGCCUCCUGAGUAGCUAGGACUACAGGUACACACCACCACACCUGUCUAAUUUUUUUUUAUUUUUAGUUUUUAUAGAGAUGAAGUCUUGUUUUGUUGCCCAGGCUGGUCUCCAACUCAUGGCCUUAAGCAAUCCUCCUACCUCAGCCUCCCAGAGUGCUGGGAUCACAGACGCAAGCUACCGUGCCUGGCUCAAAAAUGCCUUUUCCUGUCAGUCUUAGGUCAGUCGCACGCUGAGGGCUUGGUAUGGGGGACUGGAUGAAUCUGGAAAAUGUUGGUGUUGUGAAGUCUGCACCAAGCGCCGGGGCCCUGUAGAAAGCUCACCUUGAUCCACUAGGGCCACACUCUGCUCCAUGCCAACCACCCCAGCAGUGACAAUGCAGGCCAUGGGCUCAGCUGUCCAGCAGAUACCGGGUGGACCCAGGGCAGCCUUCAGGACCCCUGGAAUGACUUGUGCCGACGUGGGACAUGGAGAUGAGCAGGAAGCCCCAACAUGCAACUGUUCUGAUUUAUAGUUCCAAGACUUUAAUAACGCAGCUCUUUGACACAAAACAUAGUAAUGGCUACUUGGAUCUGUUUCAAUGUAUCAUGUCACCCUUUGCUUUGGAGAUGUUACAAAGCUGUUAUGGACACCAUCCAGGGUCUGGUUUUACAAGUGUGUUGCUUAGAAGUGCAACUGUGUGUUGGCUCGGCUGAUGUUCAAAUCUUUGGAGGAGUUUAGUGGGGAGGAAGAUUAAAGUGACUAUAAAACCACAAUCUAUGUACAAAAUGUAUCAUGGAUUUUAAUUUGAGAGCUGUUCUUUUUUUUUUUUUUUCCUCUUGCCUCAUACAGCUUGAGGCAAUGGUUUCUAGAAGAGUCUUUUGUUUGCAUUUAAAGCUGCUCUGGAGAAACACUGUUUUCAACGUUUCUGUGGGUCAUAAAACGGUUGGUCUGAGUCCUGGCUGGGUACCCUGGGUGACGCAGGCGUGGGUUGAGGACUGGAGAGCACAUGUCCUUUGUGGAGGAGUCCUCACCACAGACAGGAGGCUGCCUGCUGGAGACAGGGCCCUGCCGGGGGUGGCCCAGAGGCUGCCAAUCAUGGAGCUCCAGCACCUCAUAUGUGCUGGGUGCAUCUCCUUCCCUGGCUUCAAGUUAAAGAAAUUUGGGUCCUAGGGUUUUGUUUUGUUUUGUUUCAUCCUAAAACGUGAACCUUCCAGUGUGGCCUUUAGACAUGAAUUUCGUAAAUGAUUCUGACCUUCUGGGUCUCCAGUUGCUUCGAAGGGAGUUUGGAGCAUGGAGGACAGUAUCGGGAGGCCACAAGGGCAGGAGUGUCAGUUUCCUGUUGAUGAUGCCAACACAUCAUGCCUCUGCACGUCCCGUCCUCUUCCUGUUCUGUGGGAGGUGAGAUUCCCAUAUGUGAUGUAUUGCUGUUGCAUAUCAGGCUGGGCGAUGGGUCUUGCUUCACAGGCAGAAGGUCAGCUUUCCCAAGCCAGACACUGUCCCUUCCAUCUCCUUUUCAUGCCCAAAUGGUAAGAGGACUCAAUACACAAUCUGGAUUGAAUUAAAAGUCCAGGACCCAGCGUUCCUGCCUGAGACAUCUGGGCCUGGAGGAGGAAUGCAAGCACAGCUGCCAAGUGCCUGGGAGAAGAGUGUGGUCAACACUUGCUGUUUCUGUCUUCAUUAGAAAACCCUACACUGGAGGGCAACCUGCAGGCUUCAAAGGCCACAUCCCACAGCCUCAGGGGCUGCCCUCCUGCUGCCUCUAACUCAGGUGAGAGGACCUUCAGCACCCAUUUCCACCCUCAUGGGUUAACCUGGCGAUCUAAGCCCCGCGGGACCCUUCAAUUCCAGUCCAAGUUCCGAUCUCAGCUUGGCUUGGAGUUCAGAGUAAGUUCUGUCCUGAACAUGAAAACCACAAAAAUCUCCAUCCGGAGAGGGUUCAAGAAUUUAUUUACUCAGGAAAUGUCUACUAGACGUUGGAGUAUGUUAAAAGACCUCCAUGCUGGGCUGAGAGUCAGCUCACCUGAGUCCAGUUCUGCUUCCCACCUGUAUUCAUUUGCUAGGGCUGUCAUGACAAAGCACCAGAGACCAGGAUGUUAACCAACAGAAAUUGAUCGUCUCAGCAUUCUGGAGUCCAGAAGUCCAAGAUCAAGGUGUUGCAUGGUGGGUUCCUCCUGAGAGCCAUGAGGGACAAUCUGUUUCAUGCCACUGUCCUAGAUUCUGGUACUUUGCUGGCAAUCUUUGGUAUUCCUUGGCUUGUAGAAGCAUCAACCCAACCUCUGGCUUCGUGAUCACAUGUUCCCCCUGCAAGCAUGUCUGUGUCUGUGUCCAAACUCUCCCUUCUUGUAAGAAUACCAGUCAUAUUCAGCCAGUCAGUUGGAUUCGGGCCUGUCCUAAUGACCUCACCUUAAUUAAUUACAUCCAACAGUGACCCUAUUUCCAAAUAAGGUCAUGUUCUGAAGCACUGGAGGUUAGGACUUCAACACAUGAACUUGGGGGAUGCAAUUACUUAACACCACCUUAUCUCUGAGACCUUGGACGAGUGGGUGAAUAUUUCUUUUCUCCACCUGUGACAUUUUUGAUCUUUAAGAUUCUUUUCUAGUUCUUAAGCACAGUCACUUUUAAAGUCUUUAGAGUAUGAUGGUCUAUUUUUUUUUUUUUGAGACAGAGUCUCGCUCUGUUGCCCAGGCCGGAGUGCAGUGGCACGAUCUCGGCUCACUGCAAGCUCCGCCUCCCAGGUUCACGCCAUUCUCCUGCCUUGGCCUCCCAAAUAGCUGGGACUACAGGUGCCCGCCACCACGCCCAGCUAAUUUUUUGUAUUUUUAGUAGAGACGGGGUUUCACCGUGUUAGCCGGGACGGUCUCGAUCUCCUGACCUCGUGAUCCGCCCACCUUGGCCUCCCAAAGUGCUGGGAUUACAGGCGUGAGCCACCGCGCCUGGCCUGAUGGUCUAUUUCAUUUUCACUGUCAGUGGUCUCCAAACAAUUCUUUUCAUGGAAUGUCACUUUUAAAAACACUUUAUCCAGGCUUUAAGAAAUUUAUCAUUUCCUGCCUUUGACCGUAGUUAUUUGCAUGAGUGAUAUUAAAUAUAUUUAAUGAUCUGUCAAGGGUCCAGCUAAUCAAAUGGCCACGGGUCAUUUUGGCCACCCUGAGACAUGAUGGAGUCUCCUGGUGUGUACUGGCUGAAUCCCAGUCCUGCUCACUUUUGUAUUUGCCUUAGCUCUCCUUUUAGACUUCAUAUUCUUCCUCCAAAAAUUAGUUUUUUCUGAUUUUAAAAUAAAUAUGGAAUUAUUAUGUAAGGUUUUAAGGAAUAAAAUAAAAA